UUACUUAAAUAACUGCAUCAAUUUGAGAAGUAAAGAAUUACAUUAUGAAUUAUAUCAUUAGUGAACAUGCAUACUAAAGGUGUUAGUUCAUCGUAAUGGAGUAUAUGAUAAACAGGGCAGAGUGGCGGCAUCUAUACAACAAACUACUAUUCCUUCUUUUCAAAAUUUGCGCGUAAUGGAAUCACUAACGCCGAUUUGACUGAAUCCAAACAGUCUUGACCAAUCCCGCUAAUUAAUAUACUUUCCCAACAGACAAUUUGGAGUAACAAAAUCAUAUAAAAUAAGGGUUAACAGUAGUAAAGCUGGCCAUUAUUUGAAUAUCUGCAGGUUUUUCUCAAAGAUAAUUUUGACAAAUGCGAAGUUUUAAAUCAGUCUCAAGGAAGUUAGAAGAUGACUCCAUGGUUUUACAUAGGAGAGCAGGGAAAUCAAUAUCAGCAGAGUCCAAAUAAACACAUCCUCUAAAACAACAAGCAACUAAAUUUUUAAACACAUAGACACAUAGUCAAUCAUCGAGAGUAAAAUCCCAUGUCAAUUACCCCAUUCCACAGUAAUAUACCGAUGGUCAAUACACAAUUAUAUCAACGCCAGAAGUUGCAAUCAGAAUCACAUCGAAGCG
rnacentral:lncRNA from 1 species